rnacentral:lncRNA from 1 species
CAAUAUAUAUAUUAAACUAAUAUUAUUCAUGCAUGAAUUAAGGAGUAUUGCAAGGUAAUCAUGCUGGAUGCAAAUUCCAUAAUGAACACUUACUGGGGAUUUGAUUCUUCUAGCUUGCUCACGGUAUGUGUGUUGUUCUUAUUCAGGCUAUAAGUGCUUUAUGGUUGCUUCUCUUUUCCCUGCUCGUGAAUCUUCUUGCUUCUGCCUUGCCUU